rnacentral:rRNA from 1 species
GGACUACACGGGUUUCUAAUCCCGUUUGCUCCCCUGGCUUUCGCACCUCAGCGUCAGAAACCAACCAGUGCACCGCUUUCGCCGCCGGCGUUCCUCCCGAUAUCAACGCAUUUCACCGCUCCACCGGGAAUUCCAUGCACCCCUUUGGUCCUCAAGCAGCGCAGUAUCGGGCGCAGUUCCUCGGUUAGGCCGAGGGAUUUCACACCCGACUUACGCCGCCGCCUACGUGCGCUUUAUGCCCAGUGAUUCCGAACAACGCUCGCCACCUUCGUCUUACCGCGGCUGCUGGCAC